GACGAACGCUGGCGGCGUGCUUAACACAUGCAAGUCGAACGGAAAGGCCUGCUUUCCCUUGUGGAUUGCGGGUACUCGAGUGGCGAACGGGUGAGUAACACGUGAGUGAUCUGCCCCCAACUUGGGUAUAAGCCUGGGAAACUGGGUCUAAUUCCCGAUAGGACUGCAGGGUGGUUCCUGUGGUGGAAAACGAUUUUCUAGUGGUUGGGGAUGAGCUCGCGGCCUAUCAGCUUGUUGGUGGGGUAAUGGCCUACCAAGGCGGCGACGGGUAGCCGGCCUGGGAGGGUGGACGGCCACAGUGGGACUGAGAUACGGCCCAGACUCCUACGGGAGGCAGCAGUGGGGAAUAUUGCACAAUGGGCGGAAGCCUGAUGCAGCGACGCCGCGUGGGGGAUGACGGCCUUCGGGUUGUAAACUCCUUUCGACCGCGAGGAAGCCACCUGGUUGGAAGGGUGGUGACGGUAGUGGUAGAAGAAGCACCGGCUAACUACGUG
rnacentral:rRNA from 1 species